UAUUCUAUCUUGGCUAGUGUACU
rnacentral:siRNA from 1 species